rnacentral:rRNA from 1 species
UACGGGGGGGGGCAAGCGUUGUUCGGAAUUACUGGGCGUAAAGGGCUCGUAGGCGGCCAACUAAGUCAUACGUGAAAUCCCUCGGCUUAACCGGGGGAACUGCGUCUGAUACUGGAUGGCUUGAGUUCGGGAGAGGGAUGCGGAAUUCCAGGUGUAGCGGUGAAAUGCGUAGAUAUCUGGAGGAACACCGGUGGCGAAGGCGGCAUCCUGGACCGAUACUGGACGCUGAGGAGCGAA